rnacentral:rRNA from 1 species
UACGUAGGGUGCGAGCGUUAAUCGGAAUUACUGGGCGUAAAGCGUGCGCAGGCGGUUCGUUAAGUUCGAUGUGAAAGCCCCGGGCUCAACCUGGGAAUGGCGUUGGAAACUGGCGGACUCGAGUGUGGCAGAGGGGGGUGGAAUUCCGCGUGUAGCAGUGAAAUGCGUAGAUAUGCGGAGGAACACCGAUGGCGAAGGCAAUCCCCUGGGCCUGUACUGACGCUCAUGCACGAAAGCGUGGGGAGCAAACAGG